CGGAGGCGGAGCCGGGGGAGUCGGAGUCGGAGCUGGAGGACGAAACCUUCAACCCCUCGGAGGAGGAUGAGGAGGAGGAGGAGGACAGCGAUGAAGAUUACUCGUCCGAGGCCGAGGAGUCAGAAUACUCCAAGGACUCGCUGGGCUCGGAGGAGGAGAGCGGGAAGGACUGGGACGAGCUGGAGGAGGAGGCGCGCAAAGCCGACCGCGAGAGCCAAUACGAGGAGGAGGAGGAGCGGGGGCGGGGCCGGAAGCGGAAGGGCCCCCCCCGGGCGGGGCCGGCCCCCACCCCCCCAAGAAGAAGAGGAAGUAGCGGGGCCGCCCCUCCCCCACCCCCGAAAUCCCCGCGUUUCACCCCAAAAAUCUGCCCGGGGGGGGG